rnacentral:lncRNA from 1 species
GAUCCUUCGGAAGUGUUCACUUUGGCACAAUUAAAGGCUUGGUCUUGGGUAACUUCUAAAACUGUUUCUGCUAGUUUUACUUACUCUGAGUGGUGCAUUGAUCCUAAGGCUUGUAUGUUUUCAAUAAAGUGAGCUUUUAUAAGAGUUUUCUUAGCUUCUGUUGUUCUUUUUGCCCCUUGUUGUGGUUGCAAAGAGAUUGUAUUGAGUUUGGUUUUGAGUUUGUA